rnacentral:misc_RNA from 1 species
CAUGAGUGGUUGUGGACAUGAAGCUGCCGGGAGGCCCCCCGACUAAUUGAGCGGCCGACUCUCGGUGCAGUGUCCUUUCAAUCGUGUGGGUUUUCGCACCCGCGCUACUUUAAAGUGCUUGCGUUCUUCUACCUGUCUUGCGGGAAGUUGACGUUUGUACAUGUUGCCUUCGUCGCGUGCGUCCUUUGGGCGUGUUGCGUCGACCAGAUAGCUUUACCUGUGAUGCCUUGCUAGGUCUGCCAUACAGGCAUGCCUAGCUGAGGGGACCUCGUUUCGCGCUAUUUGUCUUGGAUGAUGCUCAUGUUAUAGGGUCGUGGCCUUUUGGUGCCACGUGCCUCAGAAAAAGUCCCUUGGGAAAAGUGACAGUUGGCUCGGUUGCCAUUGUUGUUAGACCGUCAUGGGUUUGCAACGUGCCUGGUGGCGCAGCCAGCUGGUCCAUAAGGACGUGCU